rnacentral:lncRNA from 1 species
GUAGCUCUCAAAGCAAAUUUUGAGCUCAUUUUUCUUUUUCUGCAAGCUCAGCAGCAGAAUGCCCAGAGUCUUCCCUGGAAAUUGAGCAGAAGGUACAGGAGUAAUAGCAAUUCCCUGUAGCUCUCAAAGCAAAUUUUGAGCUCAUUUUUCUUUUUCUGCAAGCUCAGCAGCAGAAUGCCCAGAGUCUUCCCUGGUAGAUGCAGGUUCCAUAGCGACGUUCUCCUGCAAUGCACGCUGGUAUUCUGCAAUAGCAGUCCAUGUUUUUCCUUGAGCCUGGGACAGGGAGAGCAUGAGAAAUUGAGUAUGGAG